rnacentral:rRNA from 1 species
CCUACGGGACGCAGCAGUGGGGAAUAUUGCACAAUGGGGGAAACCCUGAUGCAGCGACGCCGCGUGAGUGAAGAAGUAUUUCGGUACGUAAAGCUCUAUCAGCAGGGAAGAAAAUGACGGUACCUGACUAAGAAGCCCCGGCUAACUACGUGCCAGCAGCCGCGGUAAUACGUAGGGGGCAAGCGUUAUCCGGAUUUACUGGGUGUAAAGGGAGCGUAGACGGCAGCGCAAGUCUGGAGUGAAAUCCCAUGGCUUAACCAUGGAACUGCGUUGGAAACUGUGCAGCUAGAGUGCAGGAGAGGUAAGCGGAAUUCCUAGUGUAGCGGUGAAAUGCGUAGAGAUUAGGAGGAACACCAGUGGCGAAGGCGGCUUACUGGACUGUAACUGACGUUGAGGCUCGAAAGCGUGGGGAGCAAACAGGAUUAGAUACCCCAGUAGUC